rnacentral:tRNA from 1 species
GUGGGGGUAGCUCAGUGGCAGAGCAUUUGCCUAGCAUGUACAAGGCCCUGAGUUCAAUUCCCAGCACA